rnacentral:rRNA from 1 species
UACGAAGGGGGCUAGCGUUGCUCGGAAUCACUGGGCGUAAAGGGUGCGUAGGCGGGUCUUUAAGUCAGGGGUGAAAUCCUGGAGCUCAACUCCAGAACUGCCUUUGAUACUGAGGUUCUUGAGUUCGGGAGAGGUGAGUGGAACUGCGAGUGUAGAGGUGAAAUUCGUAGAUAUUCGCAAGAACACCAGUGGCGAAGGCGGCUCACUGGCCCGAUACUGACGCUGAGGCACGAAAGCGUGGGGAGCAAACAGG